GUGUGAGAGUAGGUAGUUAGGAAGAUGUGAGCAGAGGAGAUAAAGAAAUCUUUCCUCCGGGAGACAAGAACCUGGUCCCGCUGAUCCCCAGCGCCGCUGACAGUUUGGACUAAACGCCAGCCCGGAGCCGAUUCAAGAAAGCCCGCAGACGGUUACAACUAUUGCACCUGUAAAUGAUGCUUCGCCAGGGUUUUCAACCCGCGCCCCCCCCCCCACACCCACACACACACAUACGCAGAGACAACUCAACCCCUUGAUCAAGCUGGCCAAAGAUUCUGAUUCUGAGAAACCUACCCUCUGCCCUGACAGACAGCAAGAGAAUGAGACCCAAUCCCCAACUUCGCCCAUUUGUCAGCAGGAAGUAGCCAGAUGAUUGUCUACGUCCAUGAUCUCCCAAUGAAUUGGGUCUCAUAACUCUUGAGGGGGGAAAUGUUAGAGUAGGCAGUUAGGUAGAUAUGAGCAGGGCAGAGAAAGGACAAACUGACCAAAAAACCAUGCUUAAGUAAACAAGGGAAAGGGUGAAUAGAAAACUAAAGCAGCCACCAAAGGCUGAAUGGUACAGGGAGGUUAGUACACAGCAUGGGAGGGGCAAGAAUAAGUCAAAAGCCAGGACUUAGACCCAAUGGGGCACUCCAGCUUCGCUUGAUGUACUUUCGCUUGAAUAAAGCUUUGCUGCUUG